rnacentral:RNase_P_RNA from 1 species
GAAGCUCGCCGGAUGACCGCGCCUUCCCUGAGUUGCUUUCGAGCCUUUUGGGGAAGAGUGAGGAAAGUCCGGACACCAUGGAAUCAGGGGACCGGGUAAUUCCCGGAGUCUUGUUCUCGAGAGGGUCAGGACAUGGAAAGUGCAACAGAAAGUAUACCGCUCUAGACGUCAGAUUUCUGGCUCUGGAGUAAGGGUGAAAUGGUAGAGUAAGAGACUACCGCUGGUUUCGAGAGGAGCCAGGCACGGCAAACCCUCCCAGGUGCAAUCCCGAGUAGAUGACUGGAUGAGCUGAUUCCGCCAGGUCAUGGGUAGGGAGCAAGGAGUUGUCGGGUGACCGACUAACCAAGAUAAAUGGUCAUCGUUUUUUGCCCCAAAGGCAAAAAAUACAGAAUCCGGCUUACAGGCGAACUUCCACA